rnacentral:rRNA from 1 species
UACGGAGGGUGCAAGCGUUAUCUGGAUCCACUGGGUUUAAAGGGUGCGUAGGCGGGUAUAUAAGUCAGUGGUGAAAGCUCCGGGCUUAACUUGGAAACUGCCAUUGAUACUGUAUAUCUUGAAUGUCGUUGAGGUUAGCGGAAUGUUGCAUGUAGCGGUGAAAUGCUUAGAUAUGUUACAGAACACCAAUUGUGAAGACAGCUAACUAAGCGAUGAUUGACGCUGAGGCACGAAAGCGUGGGGAGCAAACAGG